AUCAAUAACAGGAAUUUAUGUGCAAAUUAUUUAAAUAAAAUGUAGCCGAAUGCGGAAAGUGCAAAAUGUAAGAGUAAAAUUAAAUGUGGUUGAAAAAAAAAGAUCUAGUGGAAAUAAAGGAAUUGUGGUGUUGCAGUAAAGUAAAAAAAAAAAAGAAAAAAAAAGAGAAAAGCAGAAAGUAGAAAAAAUAAGGUGAGAAAAGGCUGUUUGCUCUGCCACUAUCUAUGAGAAAGAAAAUAAUAUAGUUUCCCAUAAAAUGUAACCUAUUUAAUAUAUAUACAAAAGUGAAGAAAUAAGAAACAAUUUAUCUGUGGACAUGAAAGCAAAUGUACGCAAAGAAAUAUUAAAACGUGAUUAGACGGAAUAUUGUUCGCAAAAUUGCAACACAAUUGAAAAAAAAAUUAUUUCAAGGUUUAGCUGCGCAGUUAACGUCGAGAAAAUCGGAACGGCCCAAUAUACAGAGAGAAAAAGAAUGCUUCCAAUACAAACAAACUGACAUUGAUUUCCUGGAGAAACUCAUCGAAAUAGGAUUAUUAAGGAUAUACAAGGAGGGUCAUACCAAAAUUAUGUUUUUAAUGAAUACAAAUUUAUAUAUAAAAAAAAAAAAUGUUUUAACCACAAUAGACACUGUCAACUAAAGAUAUAAAGAAAUUAUUUAUUUCAAGCAAAAAAACAAACCGUUAAUAUUUGUUAUAUAGAAAACCAAAAAGAAAAAUUAACAGGCAAUAGAGAAGAAAUAUUCGAAGCAAAAGUAUCAAUCAAUCAAAUCUCAUCUGUAAAGAUCUUAUUUAAUAAACUGAAGCUAUCAAUAUGAAAUACAUUACAACAGGAAGCGAGAGCAACGCGACAAAUGCCACAAUGAUAACUAACAACAACAGCAGCAGCAGCAGCAGUACUAACAUCACCUUCAAUCACACCGGCAAUAAUUGUAACAAUAGCUGCAGUAAUAAUGAUAGUGGCAAUAUUAAUUAUAUGGGUAAUGGCGGACACAAUAGUGCGAUGAGCUCAGUAAACGGUAACAAUACAUUUUUUACCGAUCAAGUGGAUACUGUUACGAAUCUUUUUGAAAGAUGGAACGAUUGCGAACGUACAGUUGUCAUGUUCGCUCUGAUGAAGCGUUUGCGUUAUCCUAGUUUGAAACUCUUGCAAUAUUCCAUUGAUCUUACUUUGACCCAAAGCAUGGGUAAAACAUCUAAUUUAAGCGCAGUUGUCAUUGAAUUGAAUGCCAAUAAUCCUUCGUAUUUGCAAAAUUUAUUAAACGCUUAUAAAACAUUUCAUAUUGGAGAUCUAGUUGAUACAAUGUCAAACUCGCCUCCUGACAAAGAUCCAUUAACGACAUGCUACGGAUCGGAUUUUCAAAUUACCGCCACUAACGAUGAAAGGAAAUCGUAUACAAGAAAAGAAGAAAUUUUAGAUGAGGUAUUGACUAUGUUGCCUUUACUUAAACCAGGCAACGAAGAUGCUAAAAUUGUCUAUUUAUCCUUAAUACCGUUAGCUGUUAAGGAUGUAAUGAGACAAAUUGUUCCCAUCGAUUUAGUGCAGCAGAUCUUCUCCUAUACGCUGAUACAUCCUGGUGUAUCCAAUGAUGAUCGAAAAUCUCUCAAUGUAUGGUUACGUCAUUUAGAGCAAUGUGUACCUCCUACAGUUUGUAAUAACAAAAGUAAUGGUUCUGCUUUAAGUGCGGGUACGCAGCAACUGAAUUAUAUGCCAACUCAUCUGAACAUGACAAGUGGUAGUAGUGGCCAUCUAUUGGAUAACAGCAACGCAAAUAUGACCAGUUCUGGUUCUUCGGCGGCAUCUAGCCUCUCUUCGUCAGCUUUGUCAUCGAUCUCUUCCACAGCCUCUAGUAACUCUGUGGCUCCGCCUCUAGUUAAUUUAACACAUAAUUGUAAUGGCACUUCAGCCACUCCUUCGAUGGUAAUGGGUGCACGCAAUACAGAUUGGCAAACAAUUGCACCACCUAGUAGACAAUCUAAAACAGUCGGAUCAAAUGUUGCUUUAACCUCUACAGACUGGUCCAGUUUAGUUACAACGAAAUCAUCUACAAAUAAUGUCAACGGUGUGGCGAAAAUUGCCGAUCAACUUUGUGAUAAUUUGAAUGGUAUUCCACUAAACGAAUUAGCUUCUAGUCAAAAUAGUUUAGGCCUUUCCAUUGGCACUGCUCUGGUUGAUUCCUUGUCCGUCACCGUAGAUGCGAACAGUUCAUCGUUGGUGAAUGGUGUGGCAGCAGCAGCUGCAGUCGCUUCGUCUGUUGUAACUGUACCUGCAUCUAAUUUAUUUGGAAAUCAAACAAAUCCAAUCAUUAAUAUAAUUAACAAUAGCAGUACUUGUGGUGGCAGUGGCAAUAUGAAUGGUAUUGUUGAGGAUCAUGACACGUCAUUCUCUAAGAAUGGUACUGAAAUUUUGGAUUUUGAACCUAAUCCGAACGGCCUCAAUAAUCGUGAUGCAUGUAGUAAUAAUAACGGAAAUAUGGGACCACUGCAGUCUCAACAACAAGUUGAUUAUGCUUCAAUGCUUAUGGGCAAUUGUAAUGAUCACUUAGACAUAAAUCGUUGGAGUUUGGAUAGUAAAUUUGCGGUUCUCAAAACACGUCGCUCGAAUAGUCUUACUACGCAAACUAUGUCUUCAUCAGCCUCAUCGUCCAAUUCGUCGGUAAUCACCGUUAAUGACAAUUGUUCUAAUUCUACAGAAAAUUUAGCACAAUUUGCCAAUAAGCCGCGUAGCUAUUCACUUUCUAUUGAGCAUCACCGUAGUUCCCUUACUAACAGCGGCUCCGAUACGCGCCUCGAUGAUUUUAAACCAAAUUAUAUAAAGUUUCAGACGCGCAAUGCCGGUAUGUCCGGUAUUGGUUUAUGGCUUAAAUCGUUGCGUUUACACAAAUACAUCGAUCUCUUUAAAAAUAUGACGUACGAGGAUAUGCUAAAUAUUAGCGAGGACUAUUUGCAAAGUUUGGGUGUCACCAAAGGAGCCUCACACAAAUUGGCUCUAUGCAUUGAGAAGUUGAAAGAUCGAGCCAGUAACUUAAUGAAAAUGGAACAGGAAUUGUUAAGUAGCCAGCUAAAGCUGCAGGCAGCCGUAGAAGAGUUGGCAAAUGUGGUGUUAACACCAAUGAAACCUAUAGAGGCUACAGCCCAAACUACGGGUGACGACAAUGUGGCAUUGCUAUUUUUAAGAGUAGUUGAUAUGGUUUGUUCAAUUGUCCAGAAUGAUCCGUACGCGCUGGUAGAUGACGAUAAUAUAAGUGUUAUUUUAUGGAUUAUUGAUCGGAUGUUACACAACGAGGCAUUUGUUAACAAUGUCAAUCAAUUAAAGGAAAUGAAAUUUAAACUAUCCAAGUUCAAAAUGUCCUUGCCACCAAAAAUGCAUCACACUAAAAAUAGCAGCAGUGGCAGCUUGAGUAAACCCAGGUGGAACGGUAAAUCACGGAAAAGUGAUCAAAAGAAUGGCAGCAAUGAUCGCAUUAAUCAUCGUAAAAAUUCGAAUGAUACCUUAAUUUUCUCUCUGAAUUGUUUACAACAACAAGCGCAGCAGCAACAGCAACAUCAGCAGCAAUCGCAGAACCAAAUAACGGACUACGAUAUAUAUCAUAACAAUUCAAACAACAAUAACAAUAAUAAUAAUAAUAACAAUAAUAAUAAUAAUAGCCAUCAAUAUAAAAACACAUCCUAUAGUAAUUAUCAUCAUCAUCAACAGCAGCAACAGCAACAACAACAACAACAACAAAUUAAGCAAAUGCAACAACAGUUACAGCACUUUCCGACAGCAACAUCAAAUCCAACGCAGCAACAUAGACGCUCUUUGAAUAGCCUAAUAAUGGUGGCUGGAGGACCGCAGCAUCCACAGAAAAUGGUUUUCAAGGCGGGACAAGCUGUGCUAUCGUCAAAUUCGGCUGACGACUUGCAAAUGGAAAAUAUGUUGAGAAAACAGCAGCAAAGUCAACAGCCCAGAAAAGCCAGUCUUACCUCAAUGACAAACAGCAACAGCAACAAUUUAUCCAGCUCUUCUUUACUAGAACAACAACAACAGCAGCAGCAACAACAGCAACAACAACAGCAGCAACAACAGCAAUCUUCGGUACCAAAGAGAAAAUUAUCGUCUGCUGUAGCUGGGAAAUUUUAUGCUGCCAACGAGAGAUUAAAGUACACCGCUAAUAGCUCUAACAUGCUGAAUUUGGUCGAUUUUAACUUUAGAUAGAAAAUUGCAAAUAAAAUUUGAUUUAUUGGAUGAAAGGACGGACGUAUGAAGAUCUCCGCUGUAAUAAAAAAACUUUGACCAUCUGCUAUGACUCAAUUAAUCCUUAUAAGGAAAUUUGACAAAUAUUUGAUCAGCAGUGCUUAAACUAAUUUAGAAACUCGAAAAAAAAGAAAAAUAAUAUUAAGAUGCGGCGUUAGACAUUUCUACAUAUGAACACUACUACAAUCCCCAUUAAUGUAUAAUCAAACGAACCUCUCCUGUUUGCAGACACAUACGCAAACACACACAUACACACACAUACACACACAAAUAUACACACAAAUAUACACACAAAUACACAGAGACACACAGAUGCAUAUAUACACACAUAAUCAUGUCCUGGAAACAAUUUGCAUGUUUUUACGUUGGAGUUAAUUUAUUAGACGAAGGACAAAAAGCAAGCAAAGCAAGACCAAACCAAUAAACAAAUCAAGUUCCGGAGAGCAUCGAACAAUGGAAAUCGUGCAAUGCGUGACAAAAGAAAAUAUUAACAAAUGAGACUGACUUAGAUUAUUUCCCAACAACUAAGAGCGAUAUAAAAUAGCGAGAAUGCAAAUGUUGGCAAAUAAGCUGAAGCAAGACAACGUUUGCUUUCUAACAACCAAGUAAUAACGGUAACAGCACGAAGAACGCGCUUGAGAAAGAAGCAAGAAUGCUGCAAAAGGAUAAAUAAGUAGUGGAAAAAGAAGACCAGUACUACUUCUAUGAAUCCUCUAACAUGGUACUUGUCUUCUCUCUUUCCCUCUCUCUCUCUUUCUUUCUCUAUCUUUCUCUCCCCCUUUACAUACACAAGUCAUUUAAUAAUAGAGAAUGAAUGAUGAUAAUCAAUUUAUAUAAUCCACUCGAUAUUUCUCGAAAUGUUCGUCUAUUUGCAUCCAUGAUUACGUUAAUGAGAUUAGACGUACAAUCCUGAUGAAUGUAAUUAAUAAGUUUGUAAUAAGGAUAACGUAUGGGCAAUGCAAAGAGUUUGUUUGCACUUUUGAAAAACAAAGUAACGAGUAGACGAAUAACGAUUUUCAACGAAUAACGAGUACAAAGAGGUUUUUUUUUCCCCCCGCCGGCAAUCGCAACCAAAAAGAGUGAAAGGAGCUAAAAAUUAUAUAUAGAACUUUACGGUAUCAAGUGAACAAAAUAUACCAAAGAGAAUUUUAUGUAAUAGAUUGUUUACUUGAUCCUUUAAAGUUUUUCAAUUGAACGUUACCGUUACUAGACAUAAUCUGUUUUCCCUCUGUCAGCAAGCUUAUUAAUAGAAAGCGAUGCGUUCCUGGCCAUUCUCCAUUUGCCUUUCGUAAACAAAAAAAAAAAAAAAAAAAAUUUACCAAUUUUUUAUUUUUUUUAAUUAAUUUUUUUUUUUUUUUUUUGUUGCUAAUAACUCUUUCAAUUUAAUCAAUAGAGUAGCAUUCAUGUCAAAAGUUUUUAGAGAUGUCCACGCUUCCUUUACGCAAAUAUGGAGUUAUAUGUUAAUUGUGAUUGUACAAACACAAGCAAAUCUUUGGCUUUUUUUACAUAUACUUUAUUCACGCAUUUAGUUCACCAAAUGCAAGGUUUAUUUUCGAAAUUUUUCGACAAUUGCAUCAUCCGCCUGCUUUCUAAAUUAAGAAAUUUUCAUCAUUUUCUAUGUACAUAUAAUUGAUUAGAUAUAAAUUAACUCCUAUGAGAGUUAGUCAAGUCAAUUUUACAUGAAAAUAAUUUUUCGCAUAAUUGAAAAACUAGUUCAUGUGUAUACACUUUUCACAUUUAUUUAAACAUUCUUUUAUAUAUAAGAGUAGUAGUCCCAAAACGGCUGUUAAAGAUUUAACAAUUAUAAGAAAGCUACGUGUACGCUUGCUUAAUUAUUGAUAAACUUUUAGACAAUUUAAUUUUUUUGAUCCAAAAGCCAAAUAUUUUCAAAAAUCUAUUUUUUUAAAUUAUUUUUUGUUAUUUUUAGAAAAAAAUAAAAUAAAUUCUUUAUUACUUGUAGAAAAUAUUGCAUAUUGUGCUAAUUGUUGACAUAUCGAUGUCUCUCCAUUAUAUAGUGAUCGAAUUCUUCAGUUUUGACGCGGAAAACUCAUUUAAUGAUUCACGUAAGCUCUAAAGGCGGCCUUAGUCGUCACAAAAUUACUAGACAAUUGUCGGAAAUUAGUUAAAGUGAAACAUUUCACUAGUAAAUCGAAAUAAAUAAAGAUUUAGAGGAGCAGCACUAUAACUAACCAACUUAGUUGUACUCUUCAACGAUAUACUAGUAUACUCAAGUACACGGCAUAUGUAAUAUGAAAUUAGGUUAUGAUGAAGCGACUUGUCAAAAUAUGGUAAAAAUAUUUUCGAAAAUGUAUUAUUAUUAUGGCAAAUACACAGUCAUAAUAAAAAAAUUUUAUACAGAAAUACGGAAAGGACGGACAGACUGACAGACCAGCCCUGACGUACACAGUUAAGUGGUUAAUCAUUUGCAAGCUAUUGGUCAAUUUUGAUGUUGCCUUUUUCUUUUCGUUUUUCAAUUGGCUGCGAUGCGCGAGAGCGCAAUUAAACGUAAAAUUUUUAUCAUUAUGAUUAUAAAUAUUAACUUUCAAUUCUUAGAAAAAGUGUUUUGCUAUAAAUCUUCAUAAGAAAAUUCGGAGGAAUUAGGUU